rnacentral:rRNA from 1 species
CCUACGGGAGGCAGCAGUGGGGGAUAUUGGACAAUGGGGGGAACCCUGAUCCAGCGACGCCGCGUGAGUGAAGAAGUAUUUCGGUAUGUAAAGCUCUGUCAGCAGGGAAGAAAGAAAUGACGGUACCUGACCAAGAAGCCCCGGCUAACUACGUGCCAGCAGCCGCGGUAAUACGGAGGGGGCAAGCGUUAUCCGGAAUUACUGGGUGUAAAGGGAGCGUAGACGGUUAAGUAAGUCUGGAGUGAAAGGCCGGGGCCCAACCCCGGGACUGCUCUGGAAACUAUUGAACUUGAGUGCAGGAGAGGUAAGCGGAAUUCGUGGUGUAGCGGUGAAAUGCGUAGAUAUUAGGAGGAACACCAGUGGCGAAGGCGGCUUACUGGACUGUAACUGACGUUGAGGCUCGAAAGCGUGGGGAGCAAACAGGAUUAGAUACCCCAGUAGUC